GUUAGGGGCAGGGUAUCCUAUGAAGAAAGAUUAGAAUAGAACUGGAACCAUACAGCAACUAACAGGGAAAGGAAUAAAAAUUAUAUUUUGAAAAAAUAAAAAUUAGGAGAGGAACUAGAAAUAUGCAAGUAGCUGCAACCAAGAGAAUGAAAGGGACAUUUUUCACUAAAUGUUAUGCAAAGUGCCAACCAAAUAUACUCAAGAUUAGCUUCAGAACUGAACUUGGCUGAUAGUGAAGUCUCUGGUCUAAACACAGACUGCUUUUAAAACCCUGGGGAACUCCCAUCAGCCCUUAUCAGGCCUUCUCCCAAUACUUUGAGAACAUCAAGUAUCAAAAGUAAUGUUUGAAUUCCUCUAUUACGGAUUCAGACUAAGAAUACAGACUUGCCUCUCUGAGGCAUUACCAUAUGGAUAUGGUUAUUUUGUCACAUAGGUCACUUUUAUUAAAGAAAGUGGACCUCCUCCCCUUCCACCAAGACAUCAGAUGUUCAGAGACUGCUGUACCAUGGUUAGAAAGGCAGAAUAAGUCAAGAAAGUGAGCCUGUUUGACAAG